AGGAGGACGCCGAAGGUGGGGCUAAUGACUGGGGUGAAGUCGUAACAAGGUAGCCGUACCGGAAGGUGCGGCUGGAUCACCUCCUAACAGGGAGACAACAAAAUGUAAAUAUUAAUUUUGUCACCUUAGGUCGAUCGGUAUCUCAGAUUCUUAUUUUUUAAGAAUUUCAGUUUCUAAGUUUUUUCUAGGUCACACCCAUCACUUUUUCCUGGGCCAUUAGCUCAGGUGGUUAGAGCGCACCCCUGAUAAGGGUGAGGUCCCUGGUUCAAGUCCAGGAUGGCCCAUAUCUCUAUGUUGGGGGUAUAGCUCAGUUGGUAGAGCGCCUGCUUUGCAAGCAGGAUGUCAGCGGUUCGAGUCCGCUUACCUCCACUGAAUACCACCUCUUACAUAUAUUUAAAGAGGGAAAUUGUUUUGAGUCGUGUCCUAAUUUGCUCUGAGCGAAUCUAGCUUCCUAUUUUAGUCAACAAAAUAAGAUGCUGGACUCAUUGAAUUUUUUUUCAUUGUUUUCAGAGAACCUUGACAACUGCAUAGAUUAUUUUUGAAGACAAUAAGCAUCUUUAAUGAUGCAGAUUUAUUAUUUGUGCGAAUGCAUUAAAUAACAAUUCUAUUAAGCUGAUGCUUCAAUUAUUGAAGUUAUUGGUCAAGCUACAAAGGGCUCACGG
rnacentral:misc_RNA from 1 species